ensembl:misc_RNA Metazoa_SRP Metazoan signal recognition particle RNA
GCCGGGUGUGGUGGCUCACGCCUGUAAUUCCAGCACUUUGGGAGGCCGAGGCAGGUGGAUCACCUGAGGUCAGGAGUUCAAGACCAGCCUGACCAACAUGGUGAAACCCUGUCUCUA